rnacentral:rRNA from 1 species
GACGAACGCUGGCGGCGUGCUUAACACAUGCAAGUCGAACGGAAAGGCCCUGCUUUUGUGGGGUGCUCGAGUGGCGAACGGGUGAGUAACACGUGAGUAACCUGCCCUUGACUUUGGGAUAACUUCAGGAAACUGGGGCUAAUACCGGAUAGGAGCUCCUGCUGCAUGAUGGGGGUUGGAAAGUUUCGGCGGUUGGGGAUGGACUCGCGGCUUAUCAGCUUGUUGGUGGGGUAGUGGCUUACCAAGGCUUUGACGGGUAGCCGGCCUGAGAGGGUGACCGGCCACAUUGGGACUGAGAUACGGCCCAGACUCCUACGGGAGGUAGCAGUGGGGAAUAUUGCACAAUGGGCGGAAGCCUGAUGCAGCAACGCCGCGUGCGGGAUGACGGCCUUCGGGUUGUAAACCGCUUUCGCCUGUGACGAAGCGUGAGUGACGGUAAUGGGUAAAGAAGCACCGGCUAACUACGUG